UACGAAGGGGGCUAGCGUUGUUCGGAAUCAUUGGGCGUAAAGCGCGUGUAGGCGGUUAAUUAAGUCGAUUGUGAAAUCCCUCGGCUCAACCAAGGAAGUGCAGUCGAAACUAAUUAACUAGAAGACGGUAGAGGAAGGUGGAAUUCCAAGUGUAGAGGUGAAAUUCGUAGAUAUUUGGAGGAAUACCGGAGGCGAAGGCGGCCUUCUGGGCCGUUCUUGACGCUGAGACGCGAAAGCGUGGGGAUAGCAAACAG
rnacentral:rRNA from 1 species